rnacentral:rRNA from 1 species
GGUUAAGUGACUAAGCGUACACGGUGGAUGCCUAGGCAGUCAGAGGCGAUGAAGGGCGUGCUAAUCUGCGAAAAGCGUCGGUAAGGUGAUAUGAACCGUUACAACCGGCGAUACCCGAAUGGGGAAACCCAGUGUGUUUCGACACACUAUCAUGUCAUGAAUACAUAGUGGCAUGAGGCGAACCGGGGGAACUGAAACAUCUAAGUACCCCGAGGAAAAGAAAUCAACCGAGAUUCCCCCAGUAGCGGCGAGCGAACGGGGAGGAGCCCAGAACCUGAAUCGGCUUGUGUGUUAGUGGAAGCGUCUGGAAAGUCGCGCAGCAAAGGGUGAUAGCCCCGUACACUAAAAUGCACAGGUCGUGAGUUCGAUGAGUAGGGCGGGACACGUGACAUCCUGUCUGAAUAUGGGGGGACCAUCCUCCAAGGCUAAAUACUCCUGACUGACCGAU